UACAGAGGUCCCAAGCGUUGUUCGGAUUCACUGGGCGUAAAGGGUGCGUAGGUGGUCGGGUAAGUUUGAUGUGAAAGCUCUGGGCUCAACCCAGAAAUGGCAUUGAAUACUAUUCGGCUAGAGGAGUGGAGGGGGGACUGGAAUACUUGGUGUAGCAGUGAAAUGCGUAGAUAUCAAGUGGAACACCAGUGGCGAAGGCGAGUCCCUGGACACUUCCUGACACUGAGGAGCGAAAGCCAGGGGAGCAAACGGG
rnacentral:rRNA from 1 species